UACGUAGGGACCGAGCGUUGUCCGGAAUCAUUGGGCGUAAAGGGCGCGUAGGCGGCAAUUCAAGUCAGCUGUGAAAUCUCCGGGCUUAACUCGGAACGGUCAGCUGAUACUGCUUUGCUAGAGUGCAGAAGGGGCAAUCGGAAUUCUUGGUGUAGCGGUGAAAUGCGUAGAUAUCAAGAGGAACACCUGAGGUGAAGACGGGUUGCUGGGCUGACACUGACGCUGAGGCGCGAAAGCUAGGGUAGCAAACGGG
rnacentral:rRNA from 1 species